rnacentral:rRNA from 1 species
ACAAGCGGUGGAGUAUGUGGUUAAUUCGAUGCAACGCGAAGAACCUUACCUGGUCUUGACAUCCCGGAGACCCUUAGGAAACUAGGGGGUGGCUUCCAUCUGGAAGAAUCUGGAGACAGGUGCUGCAUGGCUGUCGUCAGCUCGUGUCGUGAGAUGUUGGGUUAAGUCCCGCAACGAGCGCAACCCUUGCCUUUAGUUGCCAGCAGUUCGGCUAGGCACUCUAAAGGGACUGCCGGUGUUAAACCGGAGGAAGGUGGGGAUGACGUCAAGUCCUCAUGGCCUUUAUGACCAGGGCUACACACGUACUACAAUGGCCGAUACAAAGGGCAGCGACACUGCGAGGUGAAGCCAAUCCCGUAAAAUCGGUCUCAGUCCGGAUUGGAGUCUGCAACUCGACUCCAUGAAGUUGGAAUCGCUAGUAAUCGUGGAUCAGCAUGCCACGGUGAAUACGUUCCCGGGCCUU